CAGGUAUCCACAUGAAACACGAUCAGAUCAACCUUCUUGGAGUGCUAGCUCCUUGCAAAGGCCCUUUGUAGCUGAUCAAUCGAAAAAGAAGAGGUUGGUGGAAGAAGGCAAGGGAGAACUCCUUCUCUUUUGAUUUUUUUCUCACCCAAACCCUAGAACCCCUCAUCUUAGGAGGAGACACCUCUCCUUAAUUUUUCUCUUGCCCAAAAGGAGAUG
rnacentral:lncRNA from 1 species